rnacentral:rRNA from 1 species
GAUGAACGCUGGCGGCGUGCCUAAUACAUGCAAGUCGAGCGAACAGACGAGGAGCUUGCUCCUCUGACGUUAGCGGCGGACGGGUGAGUAACACGUGGAUAACCUACCUAUAAGACUGGGAUAACUUCGGGAAACCGGAGCUAAUACCGGAUAAUAUAUUGAACCGCAUGGUUCAAUAGUGAAAGACGGUUUUGCUGUCACUUAUAGAUGGAUCCGCGCCGCAUUAGCUAGUUGGUAAGGUAACGGCUUACCAAGGCAACGAUGCGUAGCCGACCUGAGAGGGGAAUCGGCACAACGGGAACUGGGACACGGUCCAGACUCCUACGGGGGGCAGCGGUAGGGAAUCUUCCGCAAUGGGCGAAAGCCUGACGGAGCAACGCGGCGGGAGUGAUGAAGGUCUUCGGAUCGUAAAACUCUGUUAUUAGGGAAGAACAAAUGUGUAAGUGACUAUGCACGUCUGGACGGUACCUAAUCAGAAAACCACGGUUAACUACGU